GGGAUGUAGUUCAAUGGCAGAACUUCAGCUUCCCAAGCUGAUAGCGCGGGUUCGAUUCCCGUCAUCCC
rnacentral:tRNA from 3 species